GAUGAAGAACGUAGCGAAAUGCGAUAAGUAAUGUGAAUUGCAGAAUUCAGUGAAUCAUCGAAUCUUUGAACGCACAUUGCGCCCGCUAGUAUUCUGGCGGGCAUGCCUGUUCGGGCGUCAUUUCAACCAUCAAGCCCUUUAGCUUGUGUUGGGGACCUGCGGCUGCCGCAGCCCCCGAAAUGCAGUGGCGGGCUCGUUGUCACACCGAGUGCAGUAAUCAUUCUUCUCUCCGGGCGUGGCGGCGGGUUCCGGCCGUAAAAUCACCAAUUUAUCAAGGUUGACCUCGGAUCAGGUAGGAAUACCCGCUGAACUUAAGCAUAUCAAUAAGCGGAGGA
rnacentral:misc_RNA from 1 species